rnacentral:lncRNA from 1 species
GGCAGGUAGCCUGGUGGUUAGAGGAGGCGGGUAGCCCGGUGGUUAGAGGAGGCGGGUAGCCCGGUGGUUAGAGGAGGCGGGUAGCCCAGUGGUUAGAGGAGGAGGCAGGUAGCCUAGUGGUUAGAGGAGGAGGCAGGUAGCCUAGUGGUUAGAGGAGGCAGGUAGCCUAGUGGUUAGAGGAGGCGGGUAGCCUAGUGGUUAGAGGAGGCGGGUAGCCUGGUGGUUAGAGGAGGCAGGUAGCCUAGUGGUUAGAGGAGGCAGGUAGCCUAGUGGUUAGAGGAGGCAGGUAGCCUAGUGGUUAGAGGAGGCAGGUAGCCUAGUGGUUAGAGUGUUGGCCUAGUAACUGAAAGGUUGCUAGAUUGAAUCCCCGAGCUGACAAGGUAAAAAUCUGUCGUUCUGCCCCUGAACAAGGUAGGCCGUCAUUAUAAAUAAUAAUUAGUUCUUAACUGACUUGCCUGGUUAACUAAAAAAAAAUAGCUCUGGUUAAAAUGGGAUGCCUGCUAUUUGCACUGCAUUUCUCUGGUCAAAAGAAGGGCACUAUGGGGUGCCUGGCAAAUUCAUCAACACAACAACAACGGAUAAGAUCUUCUGGUUGCAUAUCACCCAGCUAGAGUUCUCCUGGCUAACGAGACUCCACAUGCAGAAAUAUCAGUGGAAUUUAUCGAACUUGAACGAACAUAUUCUCUCGUCAGGUAAAUAUGUUUCCUAGGCCUUUACGUUUGGUUGGAAUGGGUUUUUUAAAUGCCCAAGCCGGUUCACUUUCCUGUUAGUGACAUAUAGGCUAUACUGUAUUUAUUAGUUAUGCCUUUAUUUAUUUAUUUAUUAUUAUAUAUAUAUUUAUUUUAAAUAAACGAAGUCAUACUUAAAAGGGAGAGAUAUCGUGCGCUUUUUUUCUCAUUAUGUUGACAGUCACGCGGGCGUGUAAUAAAGGAACGCGGAGUUAACAUGCGCUGUUAAUUUUUCAUUGCUUUUUUUUUCGUUUAGGGGGCUCACCCACCCAAAAAACCGAGAGAGAGAGACGAGAGGGGUAGAGAGAGAGAGAGAGAGAGAGAACUUGUCAUAAGUACAAAAUAAAGGAAAUGGGAAAAAGGAAUGAAUGGAACUAAAACCAAAACAACAAUUCUGCCUUCGAUGAUGUUCACGUCAUAAACACAUUUUAAAGAAGCACCUCUCCUCUCCUCUCCUCCCCUCUCCUCUACUCUCCUUCUCCCUCCCUCUCUCCCCCUCUCCUCUCCUCUCCUCCCCUCUCCUCUCC